GACGAACGCUGGCGGCGUGCUUAACACAUGCAAGUCGAACGGAAAGGCCCUGCUUUUGUGGGGUGCUCGAGUGGCGAACGGGUGAGUAACACGUGAGUAACCUGCCCUUGACUUUGGGAUAACUUCAGGAAACUGGGGCUAAUACCGGAUAGGAGCUCCUGCUGCAUGGUGGGGGUUGGAAAGUUUCGGCGGUUGGGGAUGGACUCGCGGCUUAUCAGCUUGUUGGUGGGGUAGUGGCUUACCAAGGGUUUGACGGGUAGCCGGCCUGAGAGGGUGACCGGCCACAUUGGGACUGAGAUACGGCCCAGACUCCUACGGGAGGCAGCAGUGGGGAAUAUUGCACAAUGGGCGGAAGCCUGAUGCAGCAACGCCGCGUGCGGGAUGACGGCCCUCGGGUUGUAAACCGCUUUCGCCUGUGACGAAGCGUGAGUGACGGUAAUGGGUAAAGAAGCACCGGCUAACUACGUG
rnacentral:rRNA from 1 species